UCGCCCUUUGGAAAGUCUCUUGCAUAAAGAGGGCAAGUUAAUCACAUAAGGCUUCUCAGUAGCAGCCCCAGGGGUGGAGGAGGACUUUGUACUGAGUCAUUUAGGGAGGAGUUCUGAGGAGGUGGGAGGAGUUUUGGGGAAGUGGAGAGGGGUUCUGAGAAGGCAGGAGGGGUUUGGGGGAGGUGGGGAGAGGUUCUGAAGAGGUGGGGAGGAGUUCUGAGGGGGUGGGAGAGGUGUGAGGAGCGGGAGUUCUGAAGAGGUGGGAGAAAUUGUGAGAAGGUGAAAGGAGUUCUGAGGAGGCGGGAGGAGUUCUGAGGAGGUGGGAGGAGCUCUGAAGAGGAAUCCUGAGGAGCCAGGAGGAAUUCUGAGGAAGUGAAAGGAGUUCUGAGGAGGAAGGAGGAAUUCUGAGGAGGUGGGAGGAGUUCUGAGGAAGGAGGAGGAGUUCUGAGGAGGGAGGAGGAAUACUGAGGUGGGAGGAGUUCUGAGGAUGGAGGAGGAGUUCUGAGGAAGGAGGAGGAGUUCUGAGGAGGGAGGAGGAAUUCUGAGGAGGUGGGAAGAGUUCUGAGGAGGGAGGAGGAAUUCUGAGGAGGUGGGAAGAGUUCUGAGGAGGGAGGAGGAAUUCUGAGGAGGUGGGAGGAGUUCUGAGGAGGGAGGAGGAAUCCUGAGGAGGCAGGAGUUCUGAGGAGGGAGGAAAAAUCCUGAGGAGGCAGGAGUUCUGAGGAGGGAGGAGGAAUCCUGAGGAGGCAGGAGUUGUGAGGAGGGAGGAGGAAUCCUGAGAAGGAAUCCUGAGGUAGGAGGAGUUCCGAGGGGGUGGGGAGUUCUGAGGAGGUGGGAGGAGUUCUGAGGAGGGAGAAGGAAUUCUGAGGAGGGGGGAGGAGUUCUGAGGAGGGAGAAGGAAUUCUGAGGAAGGAGGAGGAGUUCUGAGGAGGGAGGAGGAAUUCUGAGGAGGUGGGAGGAGUUCUGAGGAGGCAGGAGGAAUUCUGAGGAGGGAGGAGGAGUUCUGAGGAGGUGGGAGGAGUUCUGAGGAGGUGGGAGGAGUUCUGAGGAGGUGGGAGGAAUUCUAAUGGGGGGAGUUCUGAGGAGGGGGAGGAAUUCUGAGGAGGUAGGAGGAGUUCUGAGGAGGCAGGAGGAGUUCUGAGGAUGUGGGAGGAGUUCUGAGGAGGUGGGAGGAAUUCCCAGGAGGUGGGAGAAGUUCUGAGGAGGGAGGAGGAGAGAGGCAUCCUAGGUCAAGCCAGAAAGAAGAGUGGUGAAAUUGCUUCCUGAUUCCUCCUUGGUGACUCUGAGGUUAGAGAGGAAGCUAAACUCUGAAGCCCACCUUAUAUACGGAAGAUGAUCUGGGGUCUGUGGCAUUCCAGGUCCUGCUCUCUCCCUAGGCCAUCACUUCAGAUCUGCAAUGGACUUUGUAUGUCAGCCAUGAUAAACCAAGGCCAUACCAGUUUUCUAUUUGGUCCUCAAAUGUACCAAACUCUUUCCUGCCCCAGGGACUUUGCGUAUGUUGUCUCCUAUACCUGGAAUAUAUGUUUUCCAAGCCUCUGUCUCUGAGACUCGGAUGAAAUGUCAUUUCCUCAGACUGGCCUUUCCUGACCACUCCACUUGCCCCUCCCACCCUUAGUCUGCAUUAUGCCCCCUAGUAUUUUCUCCCCCAGUUUCCCGUUCUUUUCCUUAUCUCACUCUGAAGCUGUGGGCUCCUUUGAUGAACACAUACCCUCCACAGGGCAGGAAUCCUGCUGUUUAUCAAUUUGGUACACACUGCCCCUUGCACACAGCAAGUGCACAAAAAGCAUUUGUUAAAUAUGUAUAGAAGCAAUACCAGGCCCCAAGACAGUGGCCCUGCCUGUGAUAUAGUGGGAAGACAGAUAAACACGUACUUAAGACCAGGGUUGGGUCCUCCUGGGACCAGGACUUUAGGAACGCUGGGAUUAAUUACCAAAGGGAGCAACAGAGACAUUUGACAUAGUUGGUUUUGUAGUAGUAGGAAGGCCGCUGAACAGCAGAGGGAAGGUGUGGGAGUUACAGAAGAAAGGAACUCUGGGUAACAGACUGCACUACUGCACUCCAACCUGGGUAACAGAGUUUUUGACCCUAUCGCA
rnacentral:lncRNA from 1 species